ensembl:lincRNA Malat1 metastasis associated lung adenocarcinoma transcript 1 (non-coding RNA)
AUCCUCUCCAGCUUCAUGCUGGAGCAGCUAGCAUGUGAUGUAAUGUUGGCCUUGGGGUGGAGGGGUGAGGUGGGCGCUAAGCCUUUUUUUAAGAUUUUUCAGGUACCCCUCACUAAAGGCACUGAAGGCUUAAUGUAGGACAGCGGAGCCUUCCUGUGUGGCAAGAAUCAAGCAAGCAGUAUUGUAUCGAGACCAAAGUGGUAUCAUGGUCGGUUUUGAUUAGCAGUGGGGACUACCCUACCGUAACACCUUGUUGGAAUUGAAGCAUCCAAAGAAAAUACUUGAGAGGCCCUGGGCUUGUUUUAACAUCUGGAAAAAAGGCUGUUUUUAUAGCAGCGGUUACCAGCCCAAACCUCAAGUUGUGCUUGCAGGGGAGGGAAAAGGGGGAAAGCGGGCAACCAGUUUCCCCAGCUUUUCCAGAAUCCUGUUACAAGGUCUCCCCACAAGUGAUUUCUCUGCCACAUCGCCACCAUGGGCCUUUGGCCUAAUCACAGACCCUUCACCCCUCACCUUGAUGCAGCCAGUAGCUGGAUCCUUGAGGUCACGUUGCAUAUCGGUUUCAAGGUUAUGCCCAAUUCGUCUUAUUACCUCUGAGUCGACACACCUCCUACUAUUUAUUGAAUACUUUGAUUUUAUGAAAUAAAAACUAAAUAUCU